ensembl:lncRNA
AUAAUGUAUAGUUAUUAUUUUCAGAUUCCUGCCAUGGAGAACACCACCACAUUGUCCUGCAGAAACAUUUCUGAUGGUGAUGGUUACACUUACAAAGUGCCGUCUUAUAUACCAUCUGCUCUACUGCAGGACGAGGACUGUGAGCAAGAGUGGAAAAAUAAGGAAUUUGAAAGCAAGGCAGGGGAGUUUUUGUCAGAUGGACAUCAUCAUGCAAAUAAAACUGAGCACCCACUGGUUCGUAAUGAAACCAUAAAAAACAUCAAAGUCUCUGAAUGCAUCGAGCUUCACCAUUCUGUGACCUGUCAUGGAUCGAGUCAAAAGUUUAUACACACUUACCAAGUGAUCAAUGACACCGCCCUGAGUUUUGAGCAGCAAUCCAAUAGCACCACCACCAACACCACCAUCAUCUCUGUUGUCGUUCCCCUUAUUCUGAUUGUAGUCCUGAUUGUAGGCCUACAUAAAACGGUACACUACAUAAAAAGGUAUAACAAGAACAAGAGAAGCUGUGUCAAAAGUAGUCAUAUCAAUGAAGAAGCUCAACCAGCCCAAGCCAUGGAAUUGGUGAGCACCCAGAGCACUCCAAGAGCAUAUGAAGAUUAAGCUUCUCCCUCCGGUCUGAUUCUGCCUUUUCUAUAAUCGUACUUAUAUAUCUGCUUUUGCACUUUCACUACUCUUUUUUUUUUUGUGUGCAUUUUUUAACAUUUUAAAAAUAUUAAAUAGAUAAACAGAGACCUUGGAAUUAUAGGAUUCUUACAAGAUACAAGUGUUUUAAUCAUGCCAAAGCAGACAGAACAAUUUUUAUACUUCACACAUUUUGUUAUACUUUGUAGCAGUAUUUUGGUGUAAAAUAUAUUGUAUAUGUAUAUUAGACAUACAAAAUAACAUCUUUUAUAACAUCAACUCAUUUUUGCCAAUGAAAGGGAACAUAAAACAUUAUGCUUUCAACUCGAGGUUGCAUAUUGUACUAACUCCAACCAGCAAAAGCCAAAGAAUUCCUCCUAACUUGAAACUGGGGUGGUCUCCUCAACAACCAAUUCCUUUCCUGUUUACAGUGAUUGAUCUUUUACUGUAGAUCAAUCAUGAUAUAGAAAUAUCUGCUUUUUAAAUCUAGAUCACUGUCUGUACGAUUUGUGGAGAAAACUAUACAUCACUCAUCACAGCUAGCUGACUAACUUGGUGCAAACUUUGUCGAACAUUCCAAGGUGGAAAAUGACGCCAUUCCAGCCAGAAAAUUAUCAUAAAGUCGAAUGCGUAGUAUAAUUCCAAGGUCUUGAAAUGUAGAUGAGCCAGUAUUAAAAAACACUUUGUUUCGUAUUUAUGUUUAAAUGGUAAAAUACUUCUGCACAUUCCUUUUUUAUUAUUUUUUUUUAAAAAAGUGAUUUUCAAUAUACUGUACCAAAAUAGACCCCAAAAUUCUCAUGAUUCAAGCUGACUUGUAAGAAGAGUGAAAAGUAAACCGGUAUUUUAUAAAAAGAUGUAUUGCUGCAUCAUUAACACUGGCUAUAGGUUAUACAGAAGAGACUGCUAUAACUGAGCUAUUAGUCAAGUUUAAUUCAGUAUUUGAGAAAAAAAAUCAGGCUGCCCCUUCAUUUUAUUAAAAACACUUUUUAUAGUACUGUGAAUUAAAAUGUUGCACAAAACAAUGAAGACCAAAUAACUUUUAUUAAAUCCUAAAGUAAUAUAAAAUACAGUAUUAAUAAUCAAAGAUUGUUAAAUUUGUUUUCUUAUUGUAUGUUAUUUAUCACUUCAUGCUGCCAUUUAAAGAAUGUAUUUGUUUUAAACAGCUAACCACUCUGAAUGUAGCAUUAAAGCAGGGGUGUCAAACAUGCCACCUGUAGGACUUGACCAGCCCUAUAGAGUUAUUUGUAAUCCAACCCAGCAAAUGAAUUUAGGAACCGUAAUAUUUUUAUGCACAUUUAUUUCUUUUUAAUGAAUUGCAGAGUGCACACAAUGUACUUUUCCACUAAAUUGGUCAAUAACCAACUUUUUCUGGCCCAUCAGACUAAGUAUAAUCCAUUAUGUAAGAUGCCCCUGAUUUAAAGCGUUAAUUUGUACACAUGCAAUACUUCUUUUUUUUUUCUUAAAAUAUUUCUUUAUCUUAUUUUCUUUAACACUCUCACUUGAUUCGGAAUCUAAAUGUCUAUCAAGCUUCUCUGUGACUGUACAAUAAAAUAUCUGGCCUUGCUGAGUGCCUUUCUUUUAUAUAUGUAGCCUGAACUGGAGAACUCUAUAUCUUGCGUGAAUGUAGCUGUUGCUGUAGAAUGAGACAAUCUGAAUAAACAUUUCUCUUUUAAUACCACAGUACUGUUUCAUUCUGAAUUGUGAUUGGCCACAAUGUGUUGAUUGAUUUUUCUUUAAGAGCAGCUCUGGCAGUAGUGCAGCUGCAAAUUGGUUCAUGUCUAGUUUGGUCUCUCAUGGAAAAAUUACAAUAUGAUG